rnacentral:sRNA from 1 species
CUCUUUGGCUUUCUGUGUGCUGACUUUUAAGAUCCAUUAUUUUAAAAACAUAAAUUCCUAUUCAUUAAUAUGUAUUUUUAAAAAAACAGGUUUACUUGUGUCCUGAAAGACAGUGUUACAGAAACAUUGCCGAGAGUGAAUAGGACAGCAGCGAUUUCUGGGUAUUCUUUGAAGCAAUGCUCACACCAAAUAAGUGCUUGCAACAAAGACACUUAUGUGGACCUAGACAUGAAGGGCAUAAACUAUAACAGCUCAGUUGCCAAGAGUGCUCAAGAAUGCCAAGAAAGAUGCACGGAUGAUGUCCACUGCCACUUUUUCACGUACGCCACAGGGCAGUUUCCCAGCCUGGAGCAUCGGUGAGUAAGCCACAGGACAUUCGAGUGGCCGACGAAAAACAGAGUCGUGAUUUACUAAAAAGCUUUUGCCAUCAACGUUAUGCCAGAAUUUAUUUUGAACCCCUAAAAGUCUUUUCUAUAAAAGUACUCCUAGUUUUCUUCAUGAAAAAUACACUUAAAGCCUAAUUUGGAUGCAUUUCAUUUAUGGUAAGGAGUCUAUCUUUUAAUAACACUGUCAGAAAAAUAUAUACACUUAGCUAAUUUCAAAAGCGCUACACUUUUAAAUUGGCACUUUUGAAACAGCUGCAAUUGGUAUGAUUGUCAGUGCCCUUCCCAGUCUAAAAAAUGUUACAGU